UUGCGGUUCAGUAAAACUCGUGGAGAGGGGCAGCGCUUUCUGGUUUGUCGAGCUGUUCUUUGAUCGAAAAUCGAGGUCUCUGUGCAGCAAGAAGGGAGUGGUGUGAAUUUCUUGAGGCGAAUCAGGAGUUCAUUGUUGUUUCGGUUGAACUUGACGGUGGUUCUCCAGAUCGAUCGACGGCGACAAACCUGAUAGCUUCGUUGUUCAGCUGCUACGGCCAUGUCCUCCGAUACUGUACCUCCUCCCAUUGCUGCUCAUAUCAAUUACCUGCUCAACCACUUUCCCCUCCCCGUUAAGAUUGAGCAUAUGUGGUCUGGCAGUAGACACUACCCUGGAAUUAUCGAUAGGUUCACCUUAGUCAUGCCUUACUGCCUUGAAUUCGUCAAAUGGGACAUCAUGUACAAUGCUGAAUCACCGUUUUCUGCUCCUGAUAUUAUGUUUGGACCAGAAGACGAAAAUUUCCAUCCAUUCACAAGUAAGGAUGUUGAAGGAGAUGGAGAUCGUAAGUCAUUACAAAACAGUCUAAGUGACUGGAACAGCAAAGAUCCAUCUCGGCUCACUAGCCUCCUUCAAGAACUGAGGGAUCGAUAUGUGUCAUACCAAAGGAAACGUGUUGAAAGUGUUGAUGAUGAAAGAUUGAAGUUUGAACUUUGUACUAUGUUAUCGAGGGAGGGAAUUGAAAUGCAUUUGAGUUCAGGUGUUGAGAAGCCAGAGGAGGUCAAAUUUGCAGUGCCGCUGGUAGACAUUAAUAUUAAUAAGAUGAUACCUGGAUGCCCGUGGAGGUAUCCACAGAAGAUAUUCUUGCAGGUUUUAUAUCCUGUGGUGAGAAAAUAUGCAACUACUCCUGCUGCACCUCGUCUGAAACUGGUUUCUACGUCUGAGUUGAAGGCUCUGUUAUCCAUCGAGGACAUCAAACUUCCUUCAUGGAUAGAUGGAAUGUGCAUGGCUGAAUAUCUCCCCCAUCUAGAAGAGAGUCUUGAGAAACAGGUUCUGGAGGCAGUUUCAUUGAUUGAUGUUAGGAGAGGCUUUAUAGAGGCAUUGGACUCUUUCUUCGGAAGGCCUUUAGAAGCUGACCCGGUGUUUUGUCGAACGGCUACAGUUAUCACUGCCUCCGGAGUGUUCACAUUCCUGGUAUUAAGUGACCUUCAUGCUUCUCCAUCUUGAAUUCUCGUCAAAAUCUUUCCUUUUUAGGCUUUAUACCCUGGUCUGUAGAGAAUCAGAUGUAACAAUUAACUUUGGAGAUGAUCACUACCUUGUAUCUGGUACAGUAUUCCAGAUCUAUUGAUGACAAGAAUAGCCCUAAGUUUUUCCUUUCUUAGAGAGAUUCCUGGAAUGAAAGAUCCCUCAACAACAAACGCUACAGUGGUUAAUUUAUUGAAAGGAAAAAAGAAAAGGAAAUAAAAUUUUGUAGAGAACAUUCAGAGAGAGCAACACUCUUUAACUUCCGCUCAAGACCUUUCUGCAUUCUUCAAGGUUCAUCUAUUUUCUCUAAGCUGAUGUUCCCGUCAAUAACGAAGAACACUGUCUGCAGUCUGUUAGAGAAGCUGACAAGCUUUGGCAUAUCCCAACUACCAUACUUUGCUUAUUAAUGAUAACCACUGAGAAAUCUCCCCAAAUCUUCGCAACAAAGUGACAUCUCCAUGAAACAUUAUCUAAUUCUUCCAACGUUCUUGUGCAUAAAAUACGCCACCUAGACUCUGACCAUAGGUGAACCUCGGAAAAGUUCAUGAGGUCAAAUCUGAUUAUGUUGACUCAGCAUUACCCAGUCAUUGUUUCUCCAUUUUGUGUUUCAAUCUUCUAGGUCCAGAUCCUCAUUUCAACUCAAUUUCCAAAGAAGCAGCCCUCUCUGGUGCUGCAAAGUUCUCAGCAUUUCAACUCCCAAGGUGCACCCAUCAAGUCACAGCUUAUUACUGAGUAUCCUUGGAGUCCUAGAUGGGAGCCA